rnacentral:rRNA from 1 species
GAUGAACGCUGACAGAAUGCUUAACACAUGCAAGUCAACUUGAAUUUGGGUUUUUACCUUAGGUUUGGGUGGCGGACGGGUGAGUAACGCGUAAAGAACUUGCCUCACGGCUAGGGACAACAUUUGGAAACGAAUGCUAAUACCUAAUAUUAUGAUAAUAGGGCAUCCUAUAAUUAUGAAAGCUAUAAGCGCUGUGAGAGAGCUUUGCGUCCCAUUAGCUAGUUGGAGAGGUAACGGCUCACCAAGGCGAUGAUGGGUAGCCGGCCUGAGAGGGUGAUCGGCCACAAGGGGACUGAGACACGGCCCUUACUCCUACGGGAGGCAGCAGUGGGGAAUAUUGGACAAUGGACCGAGAGUCUGAUCCAGCAAUUCUGUGUGCACGAUGAAGUUUUUCGGAAUGUAAAGUGCUUUCAGUUGGGAAGAAACAAAUGACGGUACCAACAGAAGAAGUGACGGCUAAAUACGUG